rnacentral:rRNA from 1 species
UACGUAGGGUGCAAGCGUUAAUCGGAAUUACUGGGCGUAAAGCGUGCGCAGGCGGUGAUGUAAGACAGAUGUGAAAUCCCCGGGCUCAACCUGGGAACUGCAUUUGUGACUGCAUCGCUGGAGUGUGGCAGAGGAAGGUGGAAUUCCACGUGUAGCGGUGAAAUGCGUAGAGAUGUGGAGGAACACCGAUGGCGAAGGCAGCCUUCUGGGCCAACACUGACGCUCAUGCACGAAAGCGUGGGGAGCAAACAGG